rnacentral:lncRNA from 1 species
CUUUAUUUAUAUCCACAAGAAUUAAAAAUGGUAUUUAGAUCUUUUCGUUGGAGCAAAAUUUAAAUUUAGAUCCAUCAGGUGAAAGCUCAAGAAUGGUAAACGAAGAGGGAGUGAAUUGAUUUUUAAAAACUUUUUCGAAAAUUAAUCCAAGAUAAAGCAAGUUGAGAAUCAAUAAAUCAAUCAAACAAAAAUGUACAAGUACGAAAGGAAUAAGUAAGAAGGGAAGGGAAGGGAGUAUGCAAACGAUGUAAUUGUGGAGUUUCGAUCCCAAUCAAUGAUUUACGCCCUCUAUUAUCAAACUCUCUGUUACGUGCAAUGCUUUUUCACCAUAUUUGAUUAACUUACGAUGUAAUUCAAAUCUUUACAAUGCUUCCGUUGACCUAUAAACAAAGAGUAUCGAUUUUUAUACAAUAUUUAGCUUUUCAAAGUCUCAAUAUGACCCCCACAAAUAUAAAGAGAAAUAAUUUUACAAUUUGAAACUUCUAUCUUAAGAAAUGAUAUAAUCAAAAUCAAGUACAAAAAGAGAAAUAGAUUAAUAAUUGAAUAAAAU